UACGUAGGGUGCGAGCGUUGUCCGGAAUUAUUGGGCGUAAAGGGCUCGUAGGCGGUUUGUCGCGUCGGGAGUGAAAACCUCGGGCUUAACUCGGGGCUUGCUUUCGAUACGGGCAGACUGGAGGUAUGCAGGGGAGAACGGAAUUCCUGGUGUAGCGGUGAAAUGCGCAGAUAUCAGGAAGAACACCGAUGGCGAAGGCAGUUCUCUGGGACGGUACUGACGCUGAGACGCGAAAGUCAGGGGAGCAAACGGG
rnacentral:rRNA from 1 species